ACAGACACGGGACAGUGGGCCUCCUGAGUGGUACCCGUUCAGGCCACAUCAGGGGACUAGGGAGACCAUGGCGGAGCAGGGGACUUGGGAGGCAGCGGCCCCAGCCCCCACCUCAGCAUCUACGGUUGGAGCCCUUUUGAGGAGCUGGCACUGGAAGAGGAGAAGUGAUGGAUUGCGCUGAGAGAUAUUGGAGGCAUGAGACGUGCGAGGUGCUGGACUCCAUGACCACUGUUUGGCAGAAGAGCUGCAUUGGUGCUCAGAAGUGGAAUUUCAGUGAAUUUUGUUGACUCAAAGUUCACUUUCCCAAGACAAAUAUACUUGAGGGGCGAAACCUCCCCCAGACUUCAUCCGCUGUUUCUCUUUGUAUUUUUGGUUUGA